GCAUCGCAGAGGGUGAGAAUCCCGUCUUUGACAUGGACUGCCAGGGCUCAACAGGUGUGCUCUCGAAGAGUCGAGUUGUUUGGGAAUGCAGCUCAAAAUGGGUGGUAAAUGCCAUCUAAAGCUAAAUAUUGGCGAGAGACCGAUAGCGAACAAGUACCGUGAGGGAAAGAUGAAAAGAACUUUGGAAAGAGAGUUAAACAGUACGUGAAAUUGCUGAAAGGGAAACGCUUGAAGUCAGUCGCGUCAGCUGGAAAUCAACCCUGCUUUUGCUGGGCGCACUUUCCUGUCUGACGGGUCAGCAUCAGUUCUGGUCGCUGGAUAAAGUCCUUGGGAACGUGGCAUCCUUUGGAUGUGUUAUAGCCCACUGGCGCAUGCAGCGGCUGGGAUUGAGGAACUCAGCACGGCCCUUGCGAGAGGGCGAUUGGAGGGAGACCUCACAACUUACGUGCUUAGGAUGCUGGCAUAAUGGCUUUAAUCGACCCGUCUUGAAACACGGACCAAGGAGUCUAACAUGCCUGCGAGUGUUUGGGUGGUGAAAACUCAUGCGCGCAAUGAAAGUGAUGGUUGAGAUCCCUGUCAUGGGGAGCAUCGACGCCCAGACCAGACCUUUUGCGACGGAUCUGCGGUAGAGCAUGCAUGUUGGGACCCGAAAGAUGGUGAACUAUGCCUGAAUAGGGUGAAGCCAGAGGAAACUCUGGUGGAGGCUCGUAGCGAUUCUGACGUGCAAAUCGAUCGUCAAAUUUGGGUAUAGGGGCGAAAGACUAAUCGAACCAUCUAGUAGCUGGCUCCUGCCGAAGU
rnacentral:rRNA from 1 species